rnacentral:rRNA from 1 species
GAUGAACGCUGGCGGCGUGCUUAACACAUGCAAGUCGAACGAAGCACUUUAUUUGAUUUCCUUCGGGACUGAUUAUUUUGUGACUGAGUGGCGGACGGGUGAGUAACGCGUGGGUAACCUGCCUUGUACAGGGGGAUAACAGUUGGAAACGGCUGCUAAUACCGCAUAAGCGCACAGCAUCGCAUGAUGCAGUGUGAAAAACUCCGGUGGUAUAAGAUGGACCCGCGUUGGAUUAGCUAGUUGGUGAGGUAACGGCCCACCAAGGCGACGAUCCAUAGCCGACCUGAGAGGGUGACCGGACACAUUGGGACUGAGACACGGCCCAAACUCCUACGGGAGGCAGCAGUGGGGAAUAUUGCACAAUGGGCGAAAGCCUGAUGCAGCGACGCCGCGUGAGCGAAGAAGUAUUUCGGUAUGUAAAGCUCUAUCAGCAGGGAAGAUAAUGACGGUACCUGACUAAGAAGCACCGGCUAAAUACGUG